GGAGGAGAACCUUGCCCUAACAUGAGGAAAGUCAAAGGCCCGAUUCUUUUAGACCGGAUGGGGGGAGAGGCCCUACAACGCCCUUAUGCGCCCCCACAGCCAUGUUAGGGACAGGAGGAGAACCUCGCCCUAACAUGAGCAAAGUCGAAGACCUGGUUCUGUUAGACUGGAUGGGGGGAAAGGCCCUACAACACCCUAAUGUGCCCCCACAGCCAUAUUAGGAACAGGAGGAAACCUCGUCCUGACAUGAGCAAAAUCGAAGACCCGGUUCUUUUAGACCGGAUGGGGGGAGAGGCCCUUGCAGUGAUCUUUAUGUGCCCUGACAGCCCUGUUGGGAAUAGAAGGAGAACCUCAUCCUAACCUGAGCUGAGAUCGACUACGUCAAGGACAGAAGGAGGACCUCGUCCUGACGAUGAUAAAAAUUUGAUCACCCAAC
rnacentral:lncRNA from 1 species